CCCUAUUAUUGAAAAUGUAAAUAUAAAUGCUUGAGUAUUAGUAGCUAUGUUCUUGAAAUUUAAAGGAUUUGGCGGUAUUAUAGUCUAUUCAGAGGAACCUGUCCUAUAAUUGAUGAUCCACGAUUAAUCUUACUUGUUUUAAAGGUUUGUAUAUCGUCGUAGGUUGAAUGUUUUGAAAGGAAGAGGAAUAUUCAAGAUAUUAGGUUAAAGAGGAAAUCAGAUCAAGAUACAGCGGAUAGACAAGGAGAGAUGGGUUACAAUAAAUUUAUUUAUAUGGUUGAAAUAGUUAACACUAUUUUUUAAAGUGGAUUUGAUUGUAAUAUAGUUUCGUUAAACUAUAUGACUGAAGCUCUAUAAUUUGCCCUUUUCGCCCGUCGCUCCUGCUCUAAAGCAGGAUAAGU
rnacentral:rRNA from 1 species